rnacentral:lncRNA from 1 species
UAAUCUAUCUCCAGAUAACGUAUAUCGCACUGCACAAGUAGUUACGUAACGAAUCAUAUCCGUUUAACAUCUCCCCUCAAUCACAACUUUAUUACGUUGAGAUUACUUCUGAAAUUUUCAAGCUGUCGAGUUGACAGACUUUGGUGAAACCAUCUACAACUUGGACAUGUGCUCCACGACAGGGUUUUGGUUCUUGACAUAAUUUUGUGUACUGCCCCGUGAGUCUGGAUGGCACCCGGCAGGUUCGGGGCCGGGUCCGGCCAUACCAGACCCGGCCACCCGCCCCGAGACCCGGACCCGGCACCGGGUCUACCCGGGGACCCGCGGGUAUACCCGACCCAGAUGAACAGUUCAACAAUAAGCAAUUCAGCACAGCGAUAGAAAUUUAUAGACCUUGAAAUCGAUACAAUAAACAGUCAAAGCUUCAAUCCAGACGAGAUUAAACAACCAGGAGAGGAACAGAAUAGGAAAUCAAAAGAAAUAACAAAUCGGGUAGAAGCAGCACAGGGCAUCAGCAUUCAUCCAUCACCAUCAGGUGCUCACAAGUAGGCAAGUAGCACAACGCACACACUAGCUAGUUGGGUUCAUACAUUACAGAAAUGUUCAUAAAUCACAAUCGCCAUAAUGGGCUCAGCUCACAGCACACAAACACAAGCUGACCAUAGCGGGACGGAGGAGGAUGGGGAGUUGGGGACGGGAGCAGGGAGCAGGGAGCACGGGCGCAUACGAACAGAGGAGGGAAGUAGCGGUGGACACGGGAUGGCACGGGCGCACGGCCACUGGCCUGCGGAAGCCGACCGCCGGCAUUUGGCAGGCUGGCGGCAGAGGGCGGGACCGCGGGAGCCGGGAGAGGCGCGGCUGCGCCCGCGCGAGAGAGAAGAAGAGGGGCAGCGGGGGUCGCGGGGAGAACGGAGUUUGCCGGAUCGGGAUGGGAGAUAGGGUGCUAGGGUUUUUGGUUGGACCUUUUGGAUUGGGCU